rnacentral:rRNA from 1 species
UACGGGGGGGGCAAGCGUUGUUCGGAAUUACUGGGCGUAAAGGGCGCGUAGGCGGCUUGUCGCGUCGUCCGUGAAAACCCACAGCUCAACUGUGGGCUUGCGGUCGAUACGGGCAGGCUAGAGUUCGGUAGGGGAGACUGGAAUUCCUGGUGUAGCGGUGAAAUGCGCAGAUAUCAGGAGGAACACCGGUGGCGAAGGCGGGUCUCUGGGCCGAUACUGACGCUGAGGAGCGAAAGCGUGGGGAGCGAACAGG